GAACAACUACCUUAUUUUCUUACUAAAACCUUGUCAACUUUCAAGUUCAAACACUUUCAUAUUCAACAUGGUAUGCUUGACAUAUAACAUGCCAAACUAUGAAAGAUUAAGAAUAGUAAGCAAGAAGAGAGAUGUAAGGUGAAUUACACAUGGACUAACAAUUUUCUAUUUUUAACAUAUUCUAUUAUAACAUUUGGUUGCUUCCAUUAUAACAAUUACUUAACUAACAGCUUGUAAUCAUGUGGAGUGAUAAUUAAACUCUUAUAUAAAAGGAUGAUUCCCAUCUAUCAGUGAAUUAAGUGAUCAUAAUUUAAUCUAUCUUCAAUUUUAUAAUGAUUUCUUUUACAAUAUUUAGUAACUUUUAAUACUAAUGAGACGAGAGUGACGAUGAUAAUUUUUAUGUUUAAAAAUUACAAAAAAGAUAAUUUAUGAUGAUUGAAUAUAAUAAAUAAUCUCAAUAAAUUUAAUUUUUAUUUAUAUUAAAAUAAACCAAUUUUAAAUUUAAUUAAUUGAUCCUCACAAAUGUUUUUUCUCAAAUUAAACUUUUUUUAAAAUUACAAUAGGAAUAGAAAAAAAAACUUUGUAUAAGAAUUAAAAUCAAAUUAUCAUCCAUUUACAUAAUACUUUUGCAUUUUUUUAAUUAUUUGGACUAAAACCACAGCGACUAACAAACUUCAUCUCUGCUUUUCUUCCUGUCCACGAUAUCGUCGCGAAGUGAAAACCUCUCUCCUUCUUCCCUCCAUUCUACUCUCACAUUCAUCCGCAUCGCAUUACUUGUAACAAUCUCUCUCUCUCUCUCUCUCUCUCUCUCUCUCUCUCUCUCAAACACUUCAUUUUCAAUCCUCCAUUCUACUCUCACAUUCAUCCGCAUCGCAUUACUUGUAACAAUCUCUCUCUCUCUCUCUCUCUCUCUCUCUCUCUCUCUCUCAAACACUUCAUUUUCAAAUCACCGAAAUCAAGGGUUUUGUAUUAUGAUUUUAUUUUUUGACGAUGCGUAUCUUUUUGGUAUCGGUUUAUUUUCAGGUUCAAUUCGAGUUUAGAGUAUGACUAAAUCAUUGGAUCUUCCUCCUAAGGGUGGGUUCAGUUUCGAUCUCUGCAGAAGAAAUGAUAUGCUUGAAAAGAAGGGUCUUAAACCCCCUUCUUAUUUGAAGACUGGAACCACUAUUGUUGGUUUAGUUUUUCAGGUUUGAAUAAUAAUAAUGGCUUUUCAGUUACUAUUAAUUUGUUGUUUAUGUGGUUUAUUAAAAAUUCACUUGUUAGGUCAACCUUGAAUUGAUGAUCCAAAGAGUUAGGUCAUGUUUGUAUAAACAACUUAAUUAAGCACUUAUCAUAUUAGUGUUUAUGUGUAAGCUAUAUUUAUAAGAAAUGAUAAAAUAAAGUUAACUAUUCUUGUAUAAUCUGUUUUCAUUAGCUAUCACGGUGAGCUUGUGAAAGUAAGCUGCCACAACUUAUGGAUAUGUUAUACGUUGUUUUCAUAAGCUUUUCUAAAUAGUCUAUAAGUGCUUAUGUAAAUAGAUAAACUCAAAUAAAUUAAUCCAAACAAACAUGCCCUGAGUGUGACGCUAAGUCUCAAAUUGUACUCUAGAGCGACUUGAAAUGUGCUUUUGGUAUUCUCAGGAUUCUUUGUGUAUAUGUUAAGCAUAGUCAAUGUUGUAAGUUAAAUGGGGUAUUAUCAGUAAAACGGAUUUGUUUAGGAUGUGUUGUUGUAUAUUUAGAUAUUAUUCUGAUUAUGCCAUGUUUGGUUCUAACAUUACAUGUUAUUAUGGUUAAGGGGGUUAGAGAGAGAGGGUAUGUUGAAAAUCUUUCACUACAGCUUUUUGGACUCAGUUAUUAAUUAUUACUAGCUGUGGAGUAGGAUUACUCGCUGUCUCUAACAAAUUUGCUUGAUGUUUGUCUCUUAAUAAUCACGCCAUAUGUUAUACUUUUGUCUCUAAAUAUAGCACUCCGUUUGCCUGCCUUGCAUCAUCAAGCUGGGGAACAUUCAAUUUGGUUGUGCUGCUGUGUUUAUAAACUUAUGAUGUUAAAGCUGAUGUUUGAUGUACUUUUUGCUGCAUAAGUUUGAAACUUAAUUCCUAUGUUUACUGAUUCUUAUUUUACAAAAUGGUCAACAAAUACAAAAUUGUACCAUUUGACGUCUGUGCUCUUCAUGACUUUCAGUGGAACCGUCAACCGUUCUGCAUGAUUUUGUGUAACUGUUUGUGUUUAUGUUCAAUUUGUAUAAUUUAAUUAAGUGUUAACGUUUCCCACAAAUAAACUUGUCUCAGGAUGGUAUCAUUCUUGGAGCAGAUACCAGGGCAACUGAAGGACCCAUUGUCGCUGAUAAAAAUUGUGAGAAAAUUCAUUAUAUGGCACCUAACAUUUAUUGUUGCGGAGCAGGCACUGCUGCUGAUACAGAGGCCGUAACAGGUAUUUUUCGUAAUGCAUAUUUCAUUUUUCAAAUUUUCAUUUCAUUCUUUAUGAAAUAUUGCAUUUAGCCGCUCUUUAGGUUUUGAUUUUAUUGAUAUUGUUAAACCAUUAAAAAUGAGAUGUUUGUUAUUUAUGGUAGACAUGGUUAGCUCACAGCUGCAACUACAUCGCUACCAUACUGGUCGAGAAUCGAGGGUUGUUACAGCACUGACUCUUCUUAAGAGACACCUUUUCAAGUUGAGUAUCAGAAGUUCUGUCUGCUUUAAGUAAUUUUGCUCCUUGUUUCAACCACCGAUUCUGACACUUUAAAUAAUGUGCAGCUACCAAGGUCAUGUCUCAGCUGCAUUAGUUCUUGGCGGGGUUGACAUCACUGGACCGCAUUUACAUACUGUUAGUUCAAUGUUUAAACUUUUCUUUGAUACUUUUGAAGUUUUCUUGUUUGGAAUGGAUAUAGUUGGACUUCUCAUAACUAUUUGAGUUCAUGUUUUGCAGAUCUAUCCACAUGGGUCGACUGACACCCUUCCGUUUGCUACAAUGGGAUCUGGUUCACUUGCUGCGAUGUCUGUAUUUGAGUCUAAAUACAAGGAAAGUUUGAGUGUAAGUAUUCAUAUUAAAGCAAAGAAUUCAUGCCUGCUUAAAAUUAGCUCUUUAUUAAAAUAACUAGACUGGAUAUAAACCACAACAACCAAACAUAGAAGGCAAAAACCUAACAAACUGGAAAUUCAAAAAUUGAAAAAAGUACUUUUUUUUAAUGGACUAGAUCAUUUUUUUGUUACUAUGAUGCUAACCAGUCGAAUCCAAACCCAGAUAUUAUACUGUUUAAUAUCCGCUCCUUUAGUAUUUACGCACAUUUAUCACACAACAUGAUUGGUUAUUAAAGUUUAUUUGAACUUUUAUAUCUUUGACUAAGGCAUGUGUUCACAAUCUAUUGUCUACUAUGCUUGUUGUAAGCAUUUUAUAUGAUGAUAAAAAAAACUAUUCUAAAAAAAUAUAAAUCAAAAUACUGUAGUCAAUAACCAAAACUGAAAACCAAUUCAAACUGAAUAAAUGGGAUCUGGUCAUAUUAAUUUUAAAAUCAAACUAAUUGUAUGAUCCAAUAGCAAAAUCAAAGGGACACAAGGAUGAAAACAAAUCAUUGCUGAAAAGAAACAAAUAAUGUGUGGGUUAAGUUAGUGGAGUGAUUCUCACACACGUGUAGUCUCUUGGAAAACUUUAUAAUAUUCUGUCAAAUGUUAUUGUAUUUACAUUAAAUUCCUUUUAAAAAAUGAUUAAAUGAAAUUAAUAUCAAUUCACUCUUUAGAUAUAAGAUGUACUCACCAAACUCGAAUAUAAACAAUAAAAAGACCUGAAUUUGUUGGACUUAAUUAUGAGCUAAUAUUUCAUAGUUCUUGACCUAUUUGAUGUCAUUAUUUUAAAACUACACUUCACAUAAUUCAAGAAAAGUGAAAUAUGAGGAUUUUCUACCAUUAGUACCAUUAAGGGUUGUUUAAGAAAUGUAUUUCAUUUUUAUAUGAAUUCGAGAAAUUAAAUGAACUUAACUAACAUCCUCAAUAUGUGUAUAGGUAGUUAGUUUUGCUUAUAAUUUAGUACGAUGAGAAUAUAAUAUAAUUGUUUCAUUGAUGCUGAUGGUGGUUGUAACUUCAAUCAUCUCUUGAUUUUGUGAUUGGAUAGAUAUUUUAAUUUGCUAUAAACAUUUAAUCUGGUGCAGAGAGAUGAAGGAAUUAAGAUAGUUGUUGAGGCGAUAUGUGCUGGUAUAUUUAAUGACUUGGGAAGUGGAAGUAAUGUUGAUGUUUGUGUCAUAACCAAGGUUAGUGCCUUGAUGCCCAAUCCUACAUAUUGUUUGAGGGGAUACAUAUAAAUCUAACUUAUGUACUAAUUCUUUGUUAAUGCUGCACAGGGACAUAAGGAAUAUCUAAGGAAUCAUCUCCAACCAAAUCCUCGUACUUUUGUUAAUCCAAAAGGCUUUACUUUUUCCAAAAAGACAGGUUUGUUGCGAACUUGACUUAUUUUUUUUACACUUGAGACUGCCAUAAAAUUAUAUUGUUUUGGUUAUCAUUGUGCGUCUAUAUUUUGCAAUCAUAUUAGUAUGACAUAUUAUGUCACCCUUCAGGGAAUAUUAUGAUGAUUCAACGAAUAUGGUGCUAUGAAUUAAAUAAUUGUUGAAGUUAUCGAAUCUAUUAUCAAAUCUAAGAUAGUGGAAUGCAGGGAACAACCCCAAAAACACUAUAGCUGGAUAGCAUAAUGCAUGAUGAUGGCUGCUAUUAUAAUUUUUUUUUAAUACAAUUUAUAUACUUAGUAUGUAAAAACUCAACAACUAGGUUUGACUGACUAGCAAGGGUGAAAAUGGCAGCAAGAGUGAAACAGGAGAGGCCCUAAUGCUGUUUUAGUGUUUUAAAACUGCGAAGUUCCUAAAACACCCAAUCAAAAACCCUCGUAACUUUUAAACUUUAAGGGCUUUUCUGGAAGUUUCAAUUUCAUUAAAAAGUGUGUUGCUAUAUGCUACAUCAAACCUCUCUACUCCUGCUUGUCUUAUAGUGGCAAGGGGCCACUGCGCGUUCUUGAAUAUGCUGUUUUAACCUUUCAGUAUCUUUGUCAUAUUGUCUGGAUAUCAUAUAUUGCAACUUUUGUUUUACUAGUAGAAUAAAUAAAUACCGAUGCCUAUAUUAGAAAGACAGGAAAGGGAAGCAGAGAUUUAGGGUAUAGUGUAAAGUUUAGAUACAUGAUACAACUUGAAUAAGAUACGACUCAGAUAGAGGGUUGUGAGAAAUAAUUGUUCAGCUAAAAAAAGAAAAUAAGCAUUAUAAGACACCUAGAUACACUGACUCAAGUCGUCAAGUUUACAAUUGACAACUGUUAAACUGAACCAAUUACGGAGAUAGCAGUCAAUAGUGAAAUUCUGGUAUCAGAUAUGAGAUGUCGAAGGUAAUGUCACGACACUAAUAUCUGAGUAAAACAAACAGGAUAAAGAAAAAGAAUAGUAAUUCAAGAGACACAAGCAAUUGUUAACCCAGUUCGGUCCAACUCACCUACAUCUGGGGCUACCAAGUCAGGAAGGAAAUCCACUAAAUAGAAUAAGUUCAAAGACUCUCAGUACACUUCAACAAGUUACAAUCUUUCUCACCUAAUCUCUACCCGUGCGACUUCUACCUAAGCACUCUUAGAUAUGAGAACCCACUCACUCCCCCUCAAUCACACUGUAUUUUAAACAACAAUUACUCUGAAAAGAAGACAUUUUCAAUAACACACACUUGAUCUUACUUAGCAUUUCAAUCAAGUAGAACAACACUUGAUCUUCAAUCAAGUAGACACACACUUGAUCUUGCUAACAACUUUGAUCAAGUAGACACACACUCUUGCUUACAAGCUUAGAGUGACAAUUUACAACCACAAAUCAGACCAAUUCAAUCAUCUAUGGAUGAACUGAAUGGCUUACAGUCUUACGACUAAACAAGACACAAACCUUAUCUUCUCUCAAUAUUUUGCUCAGUAUUGGUUGUGUAUCAAAUCAGGUUUUCCAUUGUCCUAUUUAUAGAAGCAUUCAGCUGGACUUGGACAUCUUGAAACCUAAAACUAUUUUCCAAUUAAAUCUUCUCAUGACAGCUGGUUAGAUCUCCUUGAAAAUAAGAAAUCAGGUUGUAAUUAAUGAUUGAAUGUGCCUGCAAAUCAGAUCUUCAAUCAUACAUAGAUUGCCAUUAAAUGCGCAAUCACAAAACACAUAACAUUCUCCCUGAAUGUUCUGUGUACACGAUGUCAUGACAUCGGGUCUGACAUCCUGGAACAAUCCUGCAUAAUUUCAUUUAUAAUUUUCAGCAGGUACAUAAUAUCAGAUGUCAUGACAUUGUGUAUGACAUCCUGAAACAAUCCUGCAUAAUUAUAUUUUUUUAAAACUCCAGCAGGUACAUAGAUAUCUUAUGUUAAGACAUCACAUGCAACAUCUUUUGAACACUCUUUGUUUUACCAAAAUUGUUGCCAAGACUUAGAACCAAUAAAUAGCCACCUUUAAAUAACCGAGGGGAAUACAGUGUUUGCCGCCUUAUAUAUCCGUUAUGGUAUUCUCUAACAUAUUCCCCUUAGGCUUUGUUUGUGAUUUUGGAGGGGAAGGGAGGGGAAGACUUUGAAAAAAGGGAAGGAAGGAGUGAAAAGAGUUGAGAGUUUUGGGUGGAGAGGGUUUUAAAGAGUUUAUUUUUACUCGUAAUACUAAAUCACUCUAGUUUAGGGAACUCAAAAAUUGCAUUGGAGGAGGAGGAGUUUGAAGGGUUUAUAUAAAUUCUUCAAAUAUAAUGUUAUUAUAAUAUUCUAAAAAUAAAAAAUAUGUUAUUGAUACACACAUUUAUUUAUCAUUCUAUUCAAAAACGCCAUUUCAAAAAAUGCUAAGAUUUCUCUAUUUUUUCUUCAAAUCAUCUUCCCUCGAAACCCUCUCUUCCCCUUUUCGACAAACUUGCAAACAAAACCUUAAGGUUAAAGUGGUUGACCAGUAGAGUGAAAAUCAAGUAGAAAUCUUGUUGGAGACAAGGCUUUAAUUAACAGAGCUAACGAUGCCUUUACAAUGGAAUGCGGAACACCUUCAAACUCUUUAGAUGAUCUGUUCUCAAACAAAGAAAAGAUUCUAUAUGUUUUCUGAUUGCUUGUAGAAUAUGUUUAUGUAACAGAGCCACAGUAUAUGUAAUCAAACCUAUGUUGGUGAAACUCCUAGUUCCUUGCCACUAAGCGUUUUGCUAUUUAUCAUCUUAAUCUUAUACUAACUAUCAUUUUCAUCUCCCACAUUCUCAUUAUUCUCUUUAUCUAAAAAUGCUUAGCUUCUAAGUCUAGUAUCAUGACACAACUUUGCCAAUUCAAGAAGUCCACUGUCACUAUCAAGGAGAUUGCGCACAGCUCAUUUAGUAUAUCCUCUGUGAGUCCUAGACAAAAGACAAGGCUGCACUAACCAAAUUCCUUUAAGAGCUGUUUUGUUUCUCCAAAUAAAAUGAAUAAAGGAGAAUAUACUCAAAUUCAGCUUAUAAAGGACGAUGAUGUUUAAGAAAAUUUAAAACAAGUUUUUGGAGUUAUAUUUGAAAUAUAAUUUUAUGCCUAAGAUACUUCUUGGGUUAAUACACCAACAACCAAUCCUUAUUUCACCAAGUGGGGUCGGUUACAUAGAUCAACUUCCGCCAUAAUGUUUUAUCCAGGACCAUGUUUCUAUAUAUUCUUUGGGUUAAUAGUUUUACAAAAAUAAAUGACGAUACUCUGUGGAUACAUAUCUAUAUUAUAUAUGCGUGUGAAUAUUGAAUUCAAGUACAACACUAAAACUUUAGCAAUUUUGGAGUAUCAGGCUUCAUAGAAGAGAAAAUGUGGAUGACAACAAAUACCUAUGCAGUUUUCUCAUUCAGUUUCAUUCACGAUAAAAUAGCGUAGUACAAUAUACAUGGCUAAUUGGCAUGUUUAUGCUCGAUUUUGUGAUGUCACUUAAACAAUUUCAUUAACUAUUUAAAUCAAACAUAAUAACAAUAAUUGCAGGUAUGACAUGUUCAAUCCUAUAUUUUGUGAGUCUUGUAUAGUUUAAGCCUAGAUGAUAUAUAUGCAUGACAUUAUUUAAAACAAAGUAAAUUUUACUCAGACUUUGAGAAGGUAAUCAGACAUUGAUAUAGUUUGCCCCUUCUGCAUCUUAACUUAUUCUGCCUCCCUGUUUUUGCCGAUUAAACAGAAUGGAGUGCAUUCCUUUUAAUUUUUUUUUUAUAUAUUUUUUUUAUAUAUGAUAUCUAAUAUUUAUAUUUAUAUCUGUUACAGAGGUUCUCUCAACAAAAGUUACAACAUUGAAGGAGAAGGUUGAUGUAAUUGAAGGAGAUGAUAUGGAAGAGUAGCAGAAUUGUUUGAGUCUGAAACUUGAGUGGUGCAAUGUUUGUCAUAUCGAAAAUUGUAAUUUCAGUAGUUUGGUUGAAUCUGAAUCUUGGUUUUCUUUUGCCACCAAGUUCAUAAAAAUUUGAUUUUUAUUUACCUAAAACGAUUUGGAUUUCAUUAAACUGUUGCAAGUUUUUUUAUGAUAAAAUAUUGUUACAAGUUAUUUACUACAGAGUAGGUCUAUUUGUUUCCAGUUUUG
rnacentral:lncRNA from 1 species